AUUUGCAAUCCUUUCAUGCAUUUAAAAUGAGUUCACUAGGUUUAAAAUACUCUCACUUUUAUUUCUAAUUUAUUUCACUGCUGUAUACUUUCGCUUUGAUCAUAUUUGAUUCAAUUGCCAAAACACUUGCACAAAAUGAUUUGGAAUAGCCUGGAGGAAGCUCUAGAUAUAAUUUUGUUGUGGAAAAUAUUUCCUUCUCUCCAGAAAAAUCCCCGUGUUUGCCUUUUUUUUUUUUUUUUUGGUGCCUCAGAGGAAAGUGUUUUGACAUACCAAAUAAAAGAUUUUGUUUAUAAUUUAAACAGCUUCAACAAGAAGUCAUAAGACAGUGACGUGUCACCUACUGUCGGUUGUUUUCUAUCUGUAUGUUCUCAAAUGGUGUUAUGUGAAGCAGUCUCAUACAUAAUAUAUUUGAGGAAAUGUGUGACGUUCAACAUACAGCUUUGUGAUCAGUAAUCAGAAAUGUGUCCGUUUGAGUAAUUAUGUGACAGACAGAGGACUUGGUUACACCGCCUUUUGCAGUACACCUAUUUGAUCUCAGAUGUGUCCCCUUCCCUCUCCCUCUUCCUCAUGUUUUAUCAAUGUCAUUUUUGGGAGCAGUGAUUUCCAUAAGCUCAUGCAUCACUUGUCAGCGUUAGUCCAUCACUCAAGAAAUAAGAAGUUAAGAAGCAGGUAAAACCAUCUGAGUGCUUGGAAUGCCUCUCAAGAUGCGUGUUUGGAACCAUUUGCAGGCUUUGGUUUCGCGGUGUCUUUGCAGACUGUUCUGGGGAGCUCUUGGUGUGAAAUGUUAAAUGAGAAUAUUCUCUAGUAAAUCAAGUAAAACCUUGUAAAAUAGGCUGAGUUGUGGAGGAAAAUGCGGCUAUUGUGUUUGUUCCUGUGCCUGUACGAGACUGCUUGAGAGCAUUCUUCUUGGAGUCCUCUUUGCUGAAGCAUCAAGCUUGCAAUUCAACAUGAAUAGCUUUUGCAAAUGAGAUUGUUCAUAUUUUUGCUUUGAAGAUCUAUAGUGGUCACUCUGCUGAACAGCGAGGGAGGAUGAUUGCUGAAUUCUGAAAGUUAAAUAGUUUAAGUGCCAAAACCAGUGUGCCCUCCCUGGGACUGGUGUCAGCUCAGGAUAACUAGGCUGGGAAGCAAUGUAGAAUUCAACCUGAUGGUAGCAGAGGGAGCAAGGGGAAACCUUUAAAGGGUGGAGUUAGCAAUCUUAGUGAAGCUUUCCUCUGAUGAUUCCUCAGAUUUAUUCAUACACCCAUUAGUUGCUGGUUGUGUGAAGGACAAAAUGUAGUGUAUGUUCAGAUUCCAAAUUAGGGAAUAAUUGUGUCAAAGAUGGAGAUAAUGCAAAUUUCUAAACUGUUGCUUUAGACAAGCUGCCCCAUAAAAUUGCUUGUGUUGCUAAAUAUUGCUGUGUCUUUUUAAACUUUACUUUCUCCUACAAGUGAAUGGGACCAGUGGUUUCAGAUACUUUGAGACUCAGUUGGCACGUGCAUCUUUCAGCUUUCUUGUGGAUGAGCUGGAAUUCAUUGAAAUAACUGUGAAAGUGCAAUGCUGCUUCUAAUACAGCAUUUAAAACACUCUGAAAAUUGUGGCUCUUUGGUGGAAACUGUUUUGGUCUACGUUGUUAAAAAUGAAGAUAUCAGAAUAUGAUAGUAAAAUGUUCACUUAUGGUAAAUUGUUUUGUAUAAAACUGUGCAGGGGGGCACCUGCUGCUGCUGAACAUCAUAGUGGUGUCCAGUUGGGCUGCGUUAGUACUGAGCACAGAGAGGAAGCAGCAGUUUUUCUGGAAACCUGAAGCUCUCUUUUUCCAUGAAGGACAUGUAGUCAUUGAAAAUGUUUUACUCAAAUCUUAUAACAUAUUUAGUUGCAAAGGUUACAAUAGGUGAACAGUCUUGACUAUUUCGUCACUUUAGAGGAGCGCGCUGUUACUGAAACUAAUGGCCUGUGAAUUGUUAGGGAAACCCUCUGCAAUGUUUCUGCUGAGUAGCAAUGAAUCUGACAGAAAACAAAGUGGUAGGCGAUGCAAUACUCCAUCAUGAAAAACUCACAUUUUAAAAGAUAUUCUUAAGUACAGUGGAGUGAAUGAAGAAAGAUCUGGGGAGUGAGGAGGGCACAAGAGUGAUCUUUAUGUAAAUAGCCUCUGUACAGAGAAGUGCAACUGAUGAGACUAAUCCAGGGAGGGAAGGUCUUGGCAGUGAGACCUUCAAAGUUACAACUAUGCCUGUACUAACGUAUGUACCUGUUGUGAAGUUUAUCAGUCUUUUUGAAAUCUCACUCUUAUCUUCCCACUUAAAUCUAUCUUUUCUUGGAGUUGUAAUAUUGUAGCUGCAGUGGAUUUUUAUUGCAGGAUAAAUUUCAUGAAAGCUUAUUGAUCUAGUGCCCUUUGAAGAGUAUUGGGGUUUCAGCUUCAGCCCUGCCCCUCCCACCACCAAGAGGCUGUUCUAUACUUCCUUGUUCCCAGUUCAUGUAAGUCUACUGAGUUCUCUUAUCCUGCCUGCUGACCUGAUUUCUCUGUCCUUUGGUCUGUUGAGAAAACUUAAGAAGUGCUACAUCUUUCAAGGUUUUUGAGAAUCUGAAUUCAACUACAGAAUGUGUCAUUCCAGUUCUACAGCACAGUUUAUGGGUCUGAACUGGGUCAUUCUAAAGGGAGGUUUGAUGCUGAAUGGCAAAAUGUGAAGUAUAGCUGAACUAAAGAGGUAUUUAAUAAUACACAUGCUUUAGCCUAUCUUUGUUCCUGAUUGUCUCUGAGUCAUCGUAUUGUGUGUCAAACUAAUUUUGCACAGUUUGUGCUGCCAAGCCAGACUGAUCCUGGGAGAGAUCGCACCUCGGUUUAAACUGUGCCCGUGUGUGCGUUUUUGAAGCUGCUCAAAGCCUUGUGCUGGCAAGGUCUUCGAGCCCUUGCAGGCCUCCAAAUUAGUCCCUGCUACUUCAGAGAAACCCUUGGUCCUCGCACCGGAGUAUUAGACUGGAAAGCCAAGAAAAGAUUUAUGAAGCUGCAUUUGUACUCUCCUGUAAGAAAAGGGAUGACUUGUCUCCAAGCCAAAUAUUUUCAUUAUUUUGGAUUACUUAAAAAAGCAGACAAAAACAUUGUGUAAGGGAAAAGCAAUGGACUUCAAGCUAAUAUUUUUCCAUUGAGAAUUUAUUUUUUUAUUCUUCCUCUCAUUUAGUGCUUGUUGAAUGUUGCUUGUUUUCAGAUGUGUGGCUCCUAGAACUGUUUCCUUGCUGUCAAGCAUUUACAAACAUGCAUAGGUUUUGAAAACUGUUUCACCUGUUAGCACUUUUUCUGGAAAUGCAAAAUGAGGAUGUUUGCUAAUAAUUUCUUGUAUAGCUUGUUAUAACACAAGCAGACUGAAAAUCAGACUUGUGCUAUAACUUCCUUGAAUCAUGCAUCUGAAAAUCUUAUAGAAAUCUGUGAUAAGAAGACUGUUGUUGCUGUAAGAUUUUUCUGUUGACAUUUGUCAGCAGAUCAACAACCUGCAUUGUAUUUCAUCUAAAUACCUUCAAUUGGUUUCUUUUAAAAGAAACUGUCAGGUUAAAAAAAAAUCUAGACGAAUUUCCUUGUCUUAUGGGACUUACAUUCAUAAGAUUGAAGUAAUUAAAACUGAUUGGUUUUUCAGCAUGGUCAUGAUUUGGAUUGUUGUUGUCGUUUAUAUUCAUCUAUAUUCACCUGUACCCUUCCCCCUCCCCAGGGAAAACUGUUGAAUUUAGAGGUACCUGACAGUUCUUUCAGAGAAGAUACCACAGGUGAUAACCACUUACAUGUCAAUAAUUACAUUUGGUCCUCUUCUGUUUUGGGUCACUUCCGUGACAGAUAGUUGGUAGGAAAAGGCUACUGUGACUAAUGUAUGAGCUCUUGCUUAAACAGGUACAGGAGAUUAAGAUUCCCCUUCAGAAUUACGCUGAGGUUAUUAUUUUGCACGCCAGUUUUGAAUGACUACUUUGAAACAGUGUUGGGCUUCGAGCGUCUUGCAAAGUGGUGGGUCCAAAUGAGAAAUGCCUACUUGUUGAGUAAUAGUCUGCUUGUCAGUUUGUGUAUGGCUCAGUACCGAGUUGUCAGAAUACCACCAGAUUACCUUCUUUAAAUGCUACUGUUGUACAGAAGCGAAUGUUAUUUUAAGUGAGAGAUACUGUUUUCUAAUUCGUGAAGGAAAUGGUUUACUUGGGAUUCAGGAUCCCAAAUUUUCAUAUAUUUCAAGAUUUCAGAAAGGCUUUUAUGGGAAAUUAGAAAAGUGAAAGUCAUCAUUCUCCAAAGAUUUGAUAAGCCUUUGUUAUGAAAAGUAUAAAUAUUUGCUAUAAAGAAAAAUGCUUCUUCAAACACUUCAUAUUAACUUUUACUGAAAAUCAAUAUUUUAAAAUCCUGGAUAAAUAUCUCAAAUGACGAAGACAGAAAAUUCAGAGAGAGAUUAUUUUGAAAUACGCCGGUAUAUUUUUGAGCUUCACAAUUGCGGCCCUGAAUUUUCUCUUUUUCACUGCAGUUCAUACUUUGUGAAAGUUCUUGGAUAGGUUAUAUUUAAAACUACAUUCACUUGCCUGAAUAGUCCAAGUAAAUAUUUUGUCAUUAAAAUUGUAUAGGUCUGCAUAUUUUAGUGUGCCAUUUAAAAUGAGACCACAUAGAGGUAACCAUGCAGGUAUUUAUAUUGAUAUGACUGUAGUGAAGUGGGAUAGCUGUAUACUGUACCCGCAUUCUGUGCUGAGCAAAAUCACAUGGACUUCCAGAAAUAAGCAAUGGUUUUUAAAAGCAGCUUUAUUUAAUGUUACAGCAGCAAGUAAGUGUCAUUUGUACCAUAUAAUUAUGUAAAUUGGGUGCUAAUAAAUACUAUUUU
ensembl:lncRNA